rnacentral:misc_RNA from 1 species
GAAAUGCGAUAAGUAAUGCGAAUUGCAGAAUUUCCGUGAGUCAUCGAAUCUUUGAACGCACAUUGCGCCCAUUGGUAUUCCGGUGGGCAUGCCUGUUCGAGCGUCAUUAUCUCCCCUCAAACCUCGGGUUUGGUGUUGGGCCGUGCUGGUUCCUUCGUGACCAACUGGCUUCAAAGACAAUGGCGGCGUCCGUGGGACCCUCGGUGCAACGAGCUUCCAAGGAGCACGCGUCGAGUUUCAAGGACCUUCCGGGCCGGCCUCACCUCAUAUGUUAAUCGCAAGGUUGACCUCGGAUCAGGCAGGGAUACCCGCUGAACUUAAGC